rnacentral:rRNA from 1 species
AUUGAACGCUGGCGGCAGGCCUAACACAUGCAAGUCGAACGCGUGGCGGACGGGUGAGUAAUGUCUGGGAAACUGCCCGAUGGAGGGGGGUAACUACUGGAAACGGUAGCUAAUACCGCAUAUCAUCGGAUGUGCCCAGAGGGGCGUAUCUUGUGGGUGGGGGAACGGAUCACCUAGGCGACGAUCCCUAGCUGGUCUUAGAGGAUGACCAGCCACACGGGAACGGGGACACGGUCCAGCCUCCUACGGGGAGCAGCAGGGGGGAAUAUUGCACAAUGGGCUCAAGCCUGAUGCAGCCAUGCGGCGUGUAUGAAGAAGGCCUUCGGGUUGUAAAGUACUUUCAGCGGGGAGGCGUUACCCGCAGAAGAAGCACCGGCUAACUCCGUGCCAGCAGCCGCGGUAAUUC